GCUCUUUUUUUUUUUUUUUUAAAGAGAUAUUCGUUACAAGCGCCAGGCGAUAUUGCAAAAAAGAUUUUCAUUUGAGCGUAAAAGCUAUUGCCGCCGGAAAACAAAUAGAAAAGCAGUGCAAUUCAAGGACAGCGCUCAUUUUGGAGAGAUUAAUCAGCUCGUAAUUAAAAAUGGUGAGCUUAAUUGCACCGGUGAGGCCUAUCGCUGUGUCUUGUUUGGGCUAUUAGGGGCUUUUUUUUUCUCGAAUCCUCUUCAAGGAGAGCAACAACCAAAGUCAAUCUGUUGGUUUAUUUACAAGUCAAGGGGAUGUUUCAAACUAACAGAUGUUUGCCAGCACGAUUGUGAACGACGUGGCGAGAGGGGAUCUCAUAGCAUCUCUUUACGACCUCUCAGUGAAAUUCGAGACCAACUGGUUGAAUGGAGAGCUUGAAACGGGCUCGGAAGAGGCUCUACACCCCUUGUCUUCUGCAAAUAUAUAGUUUGUCAACCACCGGAAUGACAAACAAAUCCCUGGAGAUGACAGCGUUGCAUCGCUUGGGAUUUGAGAUCAGCACAGCUUUUGAGUAGAAGAUAAAAUUUGGGCGGUUGAGGUCGGCGUGAGACUUCAAUUAUGAGGGACACAAAUGCCAAACGGAAGCCCAAUCAAUCAAGAAUUUGUCGGAAGUCGGGCAUUUUUAGGCACUUGAUGCUCAAACAGAGUAUGUGUAAGUGUGGCAUAAACAGAGUGUGUAUCACCGGCAUGAGAAAAGAUGAUGGAGUGAAUGAUGCCAUGGAAAAAAAAAGCCACUGACGUUCAACCUGAGCCAUGUGAAAAGUCAGUGUCGGCCGCGGAAUGUUUCUUGGAUGUGUUCUUACAUUCUUCUUUGUUACGUUUUUGUUUUUUUAUAGUGUGAGGUGUCACAAAAACGAGUGUUUUGCCACCAUCUUUUGGCAUCGACAAGCAAUUAGAAACCUUUUUGUGUGCGCGUCAAGAGAGUUUUCGCUAUUCGCGGCAGGACUCGGGAAGAAACUGGAAAAACUUACUGUAUUUACAUUCCAAUCACACAGGGCAGAUGUUCUUACUCGGCCUAUAUGUGUGUUAUAAAUAUUCAUCUAUAUUCAAAAGAAGAACCUUGUAAUCGAGUCCCAGUGGGAUGUGCGAGAUUGCAUUGGCUCACACUAACGGGGGCUUCAAAUACAUUGGUUACCUUCCACUGAAAGGUACAGAGUACCAAAAAAAAAAAAAAAAACCCUCAUAAUACAGUAGAGUUUGACACCAUUGAAAACUACAUGCAUAAUAAGAACUACGACUGGAAAACAAAAACAAUUUAAACAUUACUCUGCUGUAAAGUCGUCUCAUUGCAAGGCAAAGGUUCGCAAGUGUGUGCGCAUGGAGGGAAGGUUUCUAUUUUUUUUUGGUCAGGGUUCGUUCAGUGUUGUGAACAGUUAAGCUAAAGCAACACGUUUGAACUAACAGACAUUUUGGCACAAAGCAAAUUUGUUUUUACGGGUGCUUUUGAAAAAGAGAUCAUAAAAUAUGGAGCCGUUUUGUGCACAUUGUGUGUGAUUACAGUUGACUGCUUUUCUACUUGUUAGGAAACCCCAGCGGGGAAAUAAAACAUUUAGGCAGCGCA